UCAGGAUGAACGCUGGCGGCGUGCUUAACACAUGCAAGUCGAACGGAGCUUUUUUGAAGGAGACUUCGGUCAACGGAAGCUAAAGCUUAGUGGCGGACGGGUGGGUAACGCGUGAGUAACCUGCCUUUCAGAGGGGGAUAACAUCCGGAAACGGAUGCUAAUACCGCAUAAAACAGCAGCACCGCAUGAUGCAACUGUCAAAGAUUUUAUCGCUGAAAGAUGGACUCGCGUCCGAUUAGGUAGUUGGUGAGGUAACGGCCCACCAAGCCGACGAUCGGUAGCCGGACUGAGAGGUUGAACGGCCACAUUGGGACUGAGACACGGCCCAGACUCCUACGGGAGGCAGCAGUGGGGAAUAUUGCACAAUGGGCGCAAGCCUGAUGCCAGCAACGCCGCGUGAGGGAAGACGGUUUUCGGAUUGUAAACCUCUGUUCUUAGUGACGAAGAAGUGACGGUAGCUAAGGAGCAAGCCACGGCUAACUACGUGCCAGCCGCUGC
rnacentral:rRNA from 1 species